rnacentral:rRNA from 1 species
CCUACGGGGGGCUGCAGUGGGGAAUAUUGGACAAUGGGCGAAAGCCUGAUCCAGCCAUGCCGCGUGUGUGAAGAAGGCCUUCGGGUUGUAAAGCACUUUCAGUGGGGAAGAAAGCCUUGGGGCUAAUACCCUCGAGGAAGGACAUCACCCACAGAAGAAGCACCGGCUAACUCCGUGCCAGCAGCCGCGAGUAAUACGGAGGGUGCGAGCGUUAAUCGGAAUUACUGGGCGUAAAGCGCGCGUAGGCGGUCUGAUAAGCCGGUUGUGAAAGCCCCGGGCUCAACCUGGGAACGGCAUCCGGAACUGUCAGGCUAGAGUGCAGGAGAGGAAGGUAGAAUUCCCGGUGUAGCGGUGAAAUGCGUAGAGAUCGGGAGGAAUACCAGUGGCGAAGGCGGCCUUCUGGACUGACACUGACGCUGAGGUGCGAAAGCGUGGGUAGCAAACAGGAUUAGAUACCCCGGUAGUC